rfam:Pteropus alecto contig61522, whole genome shotgun sequence.
GUCUAUGGCCAUGCCACCCUGAACAAGCCCAAUCCCAUCUGAACUCGGAAGCUAAGCAAGGUCCAGCCUGGUUAGUACUUGGAUGGGAGACCACCUAGGAAGACCAAGGGCUGUAGGCA